GCCAUGCAUUUAUGAAAGUCUGACUUCAAAUGCCCAGAACCGUGUAAAAGCUAGGCACGCUAACAAGCAUCUGUAAUCCCCGAAGAUGAGAGACAGAAUUCCCAGAAGCUUGUGGACCCAGAUGGUAUACACAGCAGCAGACAAGAAACAAAGCAAGGUAGACAUCAAAGGUUUUUUUCUGGCCUCCACACAUGAACACAGAACCUCACAUGUAUGUAUAUAUAUGGUGAAAAUACAUUGACGUCAUACCUUGUUUAUGAAAUGUUCCAGGAGAAAACAGUCUGAGUAAAGAACCACGGAAGAUGCCAGCAAGGAUGGAAGAGGAAAGUGAUUGUGGAGUCAGUAGACGUAGCAAGGUGGAGUGCUGUGUGUAGGAAGGGUCAGUGGUAGACAAGGUGGAGUGCUGUGUGUAGGAAGGGUCAGUGGUAGACAAGGUGGAGUGCUGUAUGUAGGAAGGGUCAAUGGUAGAUUUUCAGAUUGAGUUAAGAGAACUGAAAAUAUGAAUUAAGAUUCAUAGUUCAGAGAUCUUUGACCAGUUAUUUUUGUUGAACUGUAGAUGACAGUGGGAUUUAAGGAUAAGUAAUUGAAAAUUAAACCGUGUAAGUAUUCCUGAUGUUAAAACGGAGAUGAAGGGGGUGGAGAGCAGGCUCAGUGAUUAAGAGAACACACUGAUCUUGCAGUGAGCUCGAAUUUGUUCCCAUUCACAUUGGGCAGUUCACAACCACCUGUAAACUCCACUUCCAGGUAACUAAUGCCUCUUGACUUCUAUAGCACCUAGACUCAGGUGUAUAUAACUGUACACAAACUAAAGCAAAGGCUUUUUUAAAGAUUAAUGGUGGGCACAUCUAUAAGUGAUAAACUUAAUCUAGUUUAGAAGCUCAUGAAUGUCAUAUAGUUAAUUACAUACAGUGGUAUCUAGAGAAGUCCAUGUUACAAAAAGACCCCUUGAUACACUAAUGUUCUAGCCGUCAAGAUUAUUUCUUAAUUCCAGAUCCAGUCUGUUUUCUCCACUCCUCAUGUUUGACCUCUAAACAACACUGAUACUUGACGUUUUUUUUUUUUUCUCCAUCCCUCCUCUGACCUCAAAUAUCUGUGCUUUUCUCAACACCCCCCUUUCCUCAUCGAGUAACCUAACCUCUUGUUUUUUCUUUGGGGUCCCAGUCCAAUGUGUAUAAAUCUAUAAAUUAACAUCCACAACAUUCUAUCUUGCAAGCAAUCUGGAACACUGUUUUGUACAACAAAAAUACCAAUGAUUGCAAAAUACCAGGCUGGAGAGAUGGCUCAACGAUUA
ensembl:lncRNA